rnacentral:rRNA from 1 species
CCUACGGGAGGCUGCAGUGGGGAAUAUUGCACAAUGGGGGAAACUCUGAUGCAGCGACGCCGCGUGAGUGAAGAAGUAUCUCGGUACGUAAAGCUCUAUCAGCAGGGAAGAUAAUGACGGUACCUGACAAAGAAGUCCCGGCUAACUACGUGCCAGCAGCCGCGGUAAUAAGUAGGGGGCAAGCGUUAUCCGGAUUUACUGGGUGGAAAGGGAGCGUAGACGGCAGAACAAUUCUGGAGUGAAAUCCCGGGGCUUAACCCCGGAAAUGCUUUGGAAAGUGUGCGGCUGGAGUGCAGGAGGGGUAAGCGGAAUUCCUAGUGUAGCGGUGAAAUGCGUAGAUAUUAGGAGGAACACCGGUGGCGAAGGCGGCUUACUGGACUGUAACUGACGUUGAGGCUCGAAAGCGUGGGGAGCAAACAGGAUUAGAUACCCCUGUAGUC